CGAGACGAACGCUGGCGGCGUGCCUAAUACAUGCAAGUCGAACGGUCUUUCUAUGGAAGCUGCUCACUGAGAAGAUAGUGGCGAACGGGUGAGUAACACGUGGGUAACCUGCCCAUAAGAGGGGGAUAACAUCCGGAAACGGGUGCUAAUACCGCAUAGUUUUCUUGAUCGCAUGAUUGAGAAAGGAAAGACGGCCUUUGUGCUGUCGCUUAUGGAUGGACCCGCGGCGUAUUAGUUAGUUGGUGAGGUAACGGCUCACCAAGACGACGAUCGGUAGCCGGCCUGAGAGGGUGAACGGCCACAUUGGGACUGAGACACGGCCCAGACUCCUACGGGAGGCAGCAGUGGGGAAUCUUCCGCAAUGGGCGAAAGCCUGACGGAGCAACGCCCGCGUGAGUGAAGAAGGCCUUCGGGCCGUAAAGCUCUGUUGCCGGGGAAGAGUGCUAUGGGGGAACCUAUAGAGGGACGGUACCCGGCGAGGAAGCCGCGGCUAACUACGUGCCAGCCGCCGC
rnacentral:rRNA from 1 species